GACGAACGCUGGCGGCGUGCUUAACACAUGCAAGUCGAACGGUGAAGCGCCUUCCUUUUUGAUGGGUGUGGAUGAGUGGCGAACGGGUGAGUAACACGUGAGUAACCUGCCCCCUUCUUCUGGAUAACCGCAUGAAAGUGUGGCUAAUACGGGAUAUUCUGGGUCUGUCGCAUGAUGGGUCUGGGAAAGAUAUUGUUUCGGUGGGGGAUGGGCUCGCGGCCUAUCAGCUUGUUGGUGGGGUGAUGGCCUACCAAGGCGGUGACGGGUAGCCGGCCUGAGAGGGUGGACGGUCACACUGGGACUGAGACACGGCCCAGACUCCUACGGGAGGCAGCAGUGGGGAAUAUUGCACAAUGGGCGCAAGCCUGAUGCAGCGACGCCGCGUGAGGGAUGGAGGCCUGCGGGUUGUGAACCUCUUUCGCCAGUGAAGCAGGCCUGCCUCGUUUGUGGGUGGGUUGACGGUAGCUGGAUAAGAAGCGCCGGCUAACUACGUG
rnacentral:rRNA from 1 species